rfam:Salmo salar isolate Sally breed double haploid chromosome ssa02, whole genome shotgun sequence.
UGAAUGGACUAAUGUAAGUCGCUCUGGAUAAGAGCAUCUGCUAAAUGAUUCAUA